rnacentral:rRNA from 1 species
CCUACGGGUGGCUGCAGUCGAGAAUCAUUCACAAUGGGGGAAACCCUGAUGGUGCGACGCCGCGUGGGUGAAUGAAGUUCUUCGGAUUUUAAACCCCUGUCAUGUGGGAGCAAAUUAAAACGAUAGUACCACCACAUGAAGAGACUGCUAACUCUGUGCCAGCAGCCGCGGUAAUACAGAGGUCUCAAGCGUUGUUCGGAAUCACUGGGCGUAACGCGUGCGUAGGCUGUUUCGUAAGUCGGGUGUGAAAGGCGCGGGCUCAACCCGCGGAGGGCCCAUGAUACUGCGAGACUCGAGUAAUGGAGGGGGAACCGGAAUUCUCGGUGUAGCAGUGAAAUGCGUAGAUAUCGAGAGGAACACUCGUGGCGAAGGCGGGUUACUGGACAUUAACUGACGCUGAGGCACGAAGGCCAGGGGAGCGAAAGGGAUUAGAUACCCUUGUAGUC